rnacentral:lncRNA from 1 species
AAUAAUUUCUGUGUUUCACUACUGACUCACAACAUUCCAGAACAUUUAACGGUUGGCUCUCCUUGAGUGGUACAAGCCGGUUCCAGCACAGCACUGGGAUUAAAGGGCCCCAGAAACAAGUGAGGGGUGCUGAGCACUCUUGGGGCUGGGGCUGACCUCCUCUGGGAUCAAGACAGGUCUUGGGUACGGCCCGUGGCGCUGGGACAGGAGGAGGCACAGGCAAGAGUUUCUCUGCUGCAGGUUUCACUCACCGCCUCCCCAGCCCUCCUGUCUUCAGCCUGGACCUUGACUACCCCUCGUCUCCCGCCCUGAAUGUGGAGGCAGCCCCCAAACCCCUUUCCAGCACAGUCAGACCUACCCUUCUCCGUGCAUCACAGAGUCAUCAUUGUCAUGGUUGCUGCUGUUUUGCUCUCACUCACUCAUUGAAGGGGACGCUGUGGGAGUGAUCUUGGCCAUGUGGGUCCGAGAGCCAGGGCCCCAGUCCUGACCUCACUGAGGGCCUUGGGCCAAUUGCCGACCCUGCCAGGCCUGACGCGCACCUUUACAGUGUGGGUGGGACUGAGGACCCUUGGGCUUUCUUCGACUCCAGGACAAACUGUUGCUUCAGGUCCACCUUGAUGACAGGACAGCGGGUGACAACCUGCAGCUUCCAGGAGCCACAGCAGCAUCCACUGGUGCUCAAUCCUGCUGUGAAAGCUUCUCCCUGGGAACUGGCUGAGGAUGCUGGCGCAGGAUCUGCCAUCUGAUAGCUCAGCCCUCGCCAGGAGAAAACAAAACACAGUUUCUGAAGUCUGACCUGGUCCGGGAAAGCUUCCAGCCAAGGGCAGGAUGGGCCCAGGAUGCGUGGCUCUGCGUCCAAGGAGCCUGGUCUGCAGGCCUCCCUCCAGGCACCUGGACCUGUGCCUCCCUUUGCUUCUACGGAGCGUCGCUAAGACUAAGUCACGGAACCCACAGGCCUGUCUAGCACGCUGGCGUCCACAGGCUCCUUCUCCUGGUCUCAGUAGUAAGAGGUCGAAGAAAGGAUAAAACUAAAGUUUAAUCCACUAGAAGGUUUUCUGGAGAGAGAGAGAGGGAGAAAUGA